rnacentral:misc_RNA from 1 species
CAUUAUUGAAUAAAUGUUGAUAGGCUGUUGCUGGCUCUCCCCUGGGGGGCGCAUGUGCACGCUUGUCAUCUUUAUUUUUCCACCUGUGCACUUUUUGUAGAAUUCUAGAGAAUUUUCUGAGAAAAAUCAGAAGGGUUGAGGAUUGCUGUGUCUCUUUUCAAUGAGCCACCUUUGCCUUUGAAGUAUCUCUAGGUUUCUAUGUCAUUCACAUACUCCUAUGAAUGUAACAUAAUGUUGAUCCUUGGGUCUUUUAGCACCUAUAAAAAGUUAUAUACAACUUUCAGCAACGGAUCUCUUGGCUCUCGCAUCGAUGAAGAACGCAGCGAAAUGCGAUAAGUAAUGUGAAUUGCAGAAUUCAGUGAAUCAUCGAAUCUUUGAACGCAUCUUGCGCUCCUUGGUAUUCUGAGGAGCAUGCCUGUUUGAGUGUCAUUAAAUUCUCAACUACAUCAAUUUCAUUUUUUGGUGUAGAUUGGAUUUGGGGGGAUUGUUUGCGGGCUUUUUUUGUAAAAUAAAGUCGGCUCCCCUGAAAUUUUUUAGAGAAAUAUCAGAAGUGGAGAGGAGUGCUGUGUCUAUUUAAAAAGACACAGUUAUCCCUUAGAAGUAUCUGGGGGUUUAUGUGUCAUUCACAUACUCAUAAAAAUGUAACAGAAUGGUGCUCCGGGGGUUUUUGAGCACAUAAAAAGAGUUAUAUACAAUUUUCAGAAAGGGAUCUUAGGUCUCUCGCAGAGGAGAAGAACGGAGCGAAAUGAGAAAAGAAAUGUGAAUUGCAGAACUGAGAGAAUCAUAGAAUCUUAGAACGUAUCGUGCGCUCCGUGGUUUUGUGGGGCGCACGCCUGUGAGAGUGUCAUUAAAUUCUCAAACACAUCAAUUUCUUUUUGGGGUGGAGAUUGGAUUGGGGGGGAGUGUUCGCGGGUUUUUUUUAUAAAAAAAAGUGGGCUCCCGAAAAAUUGAUUAGCGGUACCUGUGUAGCACCGUACACAGGUGUGAUAAUUUAUAUACGCCGAGAGAUGUGCGCACAAAAGAAAGGUUAUGCUGCUUCCCAACCACAUUUGUUGACAAUCUGA